UUGAGUAUUCUUUCAAAAGCAUCCACAAUAAGGAUGUCUUUCAUUGGCCUUUCUGGUAGCUCUUGGAAGGUACAGGCGUGGGUUUCAGCAUCUUUAAUAUGGUGAUCUAGGCUGUGAGAAUGCUAUUUGAGAUCCAAUGAAAUACCACUCAAGUAUGUCGAAUCGCGAGACUUCAAUUCUGAGGUGAAUUGAAGUGAUAGUAAUUGGAGCAUUGCUAGAAAGUUGAAUUGAUAGUAACGGGUUUUGUCAGAUUUUAGCGGUAAGCACCUUCUGGCACGACACAAUCCCUAUGGAUUGUCAUCGGAUUAUGUUUACCAUAGUAGGAUCGUGUUGUUAUAAGCUUUUGUACUGAUUAUAUAACCUUUUGUACUGAUUUGUGGUGUGCUUGGUUAGGUAAUUUAUUGACUAUUCUAUGGAAUGAAGGCAACAACUCUUUGGUAGUACGUGAUUUUUGCAUUUGGUUUUGGUUUUGGUUUCUGUUAGGUAAUUUGCACACGGAAUUAUGCUUUCUAUCAUGGUCCCUAUCUCGAUCAGCUUGAUUUUUAUCUAGGAGUUUUGGCGAAGAUCCUCAAUAUUGAACAAUGCCAUUUUGAAAGUGUAGAGUUGAAGGUUAAAGUUGGACGAUGCAACCAUUCAUUUGUUGUAUCACAUGCUUAAUGCUGAACGAUUCUAUGACACGUUAUUCUUACUAUGGCAUUAUUAGUAGUUCUGUGAAUCUCAUAUGAUGUGUUUGUGGUGUUGUCAAAAAGGGUUGCUAGGACAGUAAUAUUGGGUAAACGUAGGAAAUCCACAACAAUAUCAGCUUGGUAUUACCAGUUUUGGGGGAUCUAUUUUGAUCUUUCUUCUCAGGCGGCGGAACCAUUUUCUUUUAAUUUCUUGAUGUUCAUAUCUAAGGCGGCAUGUCUAUUUUUUUACUCUGUUGUUGUCUGUGUUUCCAGCCCAUUUGUAAUUCUAGAUAGUUACAAGCUCGCCAUUACGUCGCGCCGUGCCUUCAGGCACGGGCAAUUU